rnacentral:misc_RNA from 1 species
CUGAAUCGUCGGCCCUCGGGCCUUCCAUUCUUCCACCCCUCUUGUGAACCAACGGGUCGCGGCGUUCUAGUAGAGUGGGUGCCCGAGAGGGGGCCCUUCGAAAGCCGCCCGGCCUACCUUUUAUAUAAAACCCGAUAGUCUUAGAAUGUAAACCUUUGCUUAACCGCAAUUUAAUA